rnacentral:rRNA from 1 species
AGAGUUUGAUCCUGGCUCAGAAUGAACGUUGGCGGCGUGGAUUAGGCAUGCAAGUCGAACGGGUUUAGUAGCAAUACUGAACCAGUGGCGUAAGGGUGAGUAAGGCGACGGCAACCAACCCCAUGGUUGGGCAUAGCCGCGGGAAACUGCGGGUAAUUCCCAGCGAUGUUCGUACCGGGCAUCCGGUGUGAACCAAAGUU